GACGAACGCUGGCGGCGUGCCUAAUACAUGCAAGUAGGACGCAGUUGCGAACGGGUGAGUAACGCGUAGGUAACUACCUACUAGAGGGGGAUAACUAUUGGAAACGAUAGCUAAUACCGCCUACUAGUAGAUGGACCUGCGUUGUAUUAGGUAGUAGGUAGGGUAAUGGCCUACCUAGGCAACGAUACAUAGCCGAACGGUGACGGUGAUCGGCCACACUGGGACUGGGACAGAGCCCAGGCUCCUACGGGAGGCAGCAGUAGGGAAUCGUCGGAAAUGGGGGGAGGCCUGAGCGGGCAACGCCGCUUGAGUGAGGAAGAUUUUCGGAUCGUAAGGCUCAGUUGUUAAGGAAGCGGUACUUAACCAGAAAGGGACGGCUAACUACGUGCCAGCAGCCGCGGUAAUAC
rnacentral:rRNA from 1 species